rnacentral:misc_RNA from 1 species
UGUGUUGCUUACCGACGUGAUGGAAUUCGAUCGUGUUGUUGCCCCUUUUCGCCCCGCACCCAUAACCAGGGGUGUGGGGUGGACGCCAGGCACGCUACRCGUUCCUCGCAUGCCUUGCUUUGUUGCGGGGCUGUUGAGGCCCGCGGAGCUGUUUGCCCGUUCUCUCGGAUGCGGAAUGCCAUGCACGGGUGCGGGGUUUUUGCCUCCGCUUGCCCAAGCUACGCAUUUGUCCCUUGACGCGAACGACUGUCGCGGCCGUCUUGAUCCCGUCGUGGCCUACGUGCCGCACGGRCGUCAUGCGGUCGUCGACGUCAUCGAGGAAUGCUACCUGGUUGAUCCUGCCAGUAGUCAU